rnacentral:ncRNA from 1 species
CCGGGCAAGGUAACCCCGCUUCGGCGGGGUGCUACAGGCCCGGUGCGCGCAAGGGUCGCCGCCCGGUCGAGGAGAGAUGCGCGCCGCACCUGCCCCGUUCGCGGGGCCGGGGAAGCCGUUCGAGCAGCGUCGUGUCGCGGUCCGGGACUGUCCUCAGUCCCGGGUCGUCUCGGCGCGGUUCCGAGCGGUCGCUCCCUCGCGAGGUGCCGCGGGUCAGCGGCUGACGCCAGCCACCUUCCCGACCCGUCUUGAAACACGGACCAAGGAGUCUAACAUGUGCGCGAGCCGCGGGGCAGUACGAAACCCGUAAGGCGAAAUGAAGGUGAACGCCGGCGCGGUCCGGCGGAGGUUGGAUCCCGUCCCGUCGGGGCGGGCGCACUACCGGCCGAUCUUCUCCGCCCUGUCGGCGAGGUCGAGCGAGAGCGUGCAAGUCGGGACCCGAAAGAUGGUGAACUAUGCCUGAGGAGGUUGAAGCCAGAGGAAACUCUGGUGGAGGACCGUAGCGAUUCUGACGUGCAAAUCGAUCGUCAAAUUUGGGUAUAGGGGCGAAAGACUAAUCGAACCGUCUAGUAGCUGGUUCCCUUCGAAGUUUCCCUCAGGAUAGCUGGCGCUCUGUCGCAGUUUUAUCUGGUAAAGCGAAUGAUUAGAGGUCUUGGGGGCGAAACGCCCUCAACCUAUUCUCAUUUAUAUUGUUUUCCUAUUUUUGGAAAGUAAUACAUAAUUUUAUGUUCAGGUACAGCUGUCGUAGAUGGAACUGUUGCUGGAAUGACGUCACAAAAAUCUGUUUUCACGCAACAAUCAACUCGCUCAACUAAUGAUG